CCAAAGUCUUGAGUACAGAAUAUAGAAUUCACUAUAUUCUGUUAAUUAAACUUUGGAAAAUUGAACCAAUUACAGCUGCACUGAUUAUUCACUAUCUAAUUCAUUUGUGAAUAAGAGAUAGCAGUAAGAUGAAC